rnacentral:rRNA from 1 species
GACGAACGCUGGCGGCGUGCUUAACACAUGCAAGUCGAACGGAAAGGCCCUGCUUUUGUGGGGUGCUCGAGUGGCGAACGGGUGAGUAACACGUGAGUAACCUGCCCUUGACUUUGGGAUAACUUCAGGAAACUGGGGCUAAUACCGGAUAGGAGCUCCUGCUGCAUGGUGGGGGUUGGAAAGUUUCGGCGGUUGGGGAUGGACUCGCGGCUUAUCAGCUUGUUGGUGGGGUAGUGGCUUACCAAGGCUUUGACGGGUAGCCGGCCUGAGAGGGUGACCGGCCACAUUGGGACUGAGAUACGGCCCAGACUCCUACGGGAGGCAGCAGUGGGGAACAUUGCACAAUGGGCGGAAGCCUGAUGCAGCAACGCCGCGUGCGGGAUGACGGCCUUCGGGUUGUAAACCGCUUUCGCCUGUGACGAAGCGUGAGUGACAGUAAUGGGUAAAGAAGCACCGGCUAACUACGUG